rnacentral:lncRNA from 1 species
GAUCCGGGUAAGGAUCACUCACCCUAUUUUCUGUUACGAUAAAUUGAGGUUUAACAAUGUAUAAUUUUGUGUUUUUGUAAAAAACUUAAAAAUCCUAAAAAUAAUUACAGGUUAUUAGUGGAGCCGAAACCAGUUAGUUCACAAUUGUCCUGAUUUUCUGCUGAUUUUCCUGUACAGUCCUACUUACUUGUUAUCGUAUUGUGAAUGUUCCUAAUUUAUAGUUUC